GCGGGAGUAGCUCAGUGGUAGAGCGCCACCUUGCCAAGGUGGAGGUCGCGGGUUCAAACCCCGUCUCCCGCUCCA
rnacentral:tRNA from 2 species